UAAAAUAGUAUGAGGAAGAAAAAAUUAGGAUGUGAUCAAAUGAAAUAAGUACAUUCCAAAUGAAACAAAUUUGAGGACAUGGAAGAAGAGACUAUAUUGGGUUGGAAAACGAUGCUAAUGACGGAAGAUAACAAAUGCAGUAGUCCAUGUGUGGUAUUUUGCGCAAAAUGCUAAGAUUGACGGUAUCCACGACAAUGAAGAGAACUCAUAAAGGGAAGACAAUUUUUUCUUCUU
rnacentral:sRNA from 1 species